GGCUGGGGGACACAGAACUUGGCCCCUGCAUUUCCAUCAGACCUCAGUUUCCCUGGGGAGAAGCCACCAGGCAAGCCCUUGCCAGUACUAUCCCAAACCCAGGCAAACUGGAGGGAGGGAGAGCCUCAAACAAUUGUGAAAGAUCCUAUAGUCCCACCUCCCUCUAUCCAUGCUGUCCCAGGACACUGGCUCUCAAGACCAAGCUCUUCAGAGGUCCUCCUGGGCCUUCUCAAGUCUGCCAUCCAUCCAGCUGACCCUGCUCCCUCAAGCUCCAAAAGACGCCAAGAUCAACCACCUUGUCUCUGGUUCCAGAGAAAUGAGACCUCACGACAGGAGCUGUGUUUGACCCUACUGGAUUGGCUUUCUUCCCAGUUCAUCUAGGACCUUCAGCAAGUGGCUCAGACAAUACUAACUCUCCAAGGACAGAUUGACUCACUGGCAGCAGUAGAACUUCAAAACUGACAUGGACUGGAUCUCCUCACUGCUAAAGAAGGUGGCCUUUGCACCUUCCUCCAGGAGAAAUGCUGUUUCUAUGUUAACCAGUCAGGUAUAUUAAAAGACAAAAUCCAACAACUCCAGACAGAUUUACAAAAACACAGGGAACAGCUUGAGGCCCCUAUCUCUUGGGCCUUUGAGAUUCUGCUCUUUGUCACACCGCUCCUGCUAUCUUUCUGCUUUUGCUUUUUGCGCCCUGCUUAAUUAACUUCCUCUCUACAUUCUUCCAACAAAUGCAAAAAAUCUCUAACCAAACUAUCAAUCAGUUACUCCUACAGGAUUAUCAACCUCUGCCCACAGUACCAGAUGACAAUAAUAACCCUGAUGGUGGGGACCAGCUGUACCCCGGGAAUGAUAAUGCCCCUAACCAGCAGGAAGUAAUUUGAAGAGCAAAAGUCAUCCCUGUGCCCUCCCCACACCAUCACCCCUUCCUAGCUACUCACUUUUUAAUAAAACAAAAAGGGAGGAAUGUUGGGAUCGGUAAGCAGGCAUCUCUACUGCCAGCCCCAAGGGAUCUGACGAUCCAGUUAUCUGGCAUCUGUGAGGCCACCUAGAAGACCACCUGCUGGUCACCUGGAACCACCUGUGCACGCUCUGGGUCACCUUAUAAGAGAACUUGAGCUCCUCCCCUCUCUGUCUUUCUCUUCUGCCUCAUCCAGAGAUGCUCUCUGUGACCCUAAUAAACCCUAAUAAACCUUCCCCUAAUAAACCUCCCACGAACAGGUCGCGUGGUAUGAUUUGUGAACCCGCUGUGUAACUCUCAUCCUGCUCGAUUUCUAAC